CUCUUUUCGGCAAGACAUAAAUGAAAAUUGGGAUGAGACAGAGAUUACCAUGGCCCUUGGGCAAGGAUGAUAACACAACGUAGUGAAAUGUUCCAUAUUAUU
rnacentral:snRNA from 1 species